UAACGAGGAUUCCCCUAGUAACUGCGAGUGAAGCGGGAAGAGCUCAAAUUUGUAAUCUGGCGGUCUGCGGCCGUCCGAGUUGUAAUCUGUAGAGGCGUCGUCCGCGUCGGCCCGUGCACAAGUCUCCUGGAAUGGAGCGUCAUAGAGGGUGAGAAUCCCGUCCAUGGCACGGACCACCGACGCUCUGUGAAGUGCCCUCGAAGAGUCGCGUUGUUUGAGAAUGCAGCGCAAAAUGGGUGGUAAAUUCCAUCUAAGGCUAAAUAUUGGCGAGAGACCGAUAGCGAACAAGUACCGUGAGGGAAAGAUGAAAAGCACUUUGGAAAGAGAGUUAAACAGUACGUGAAAUUGUCGAAAGGGAAACGCUUGGAGUCAGUCGUGUCCUGAGGCACUCAGCCUUGCUUCGGCAUCGUGUACUUGCCUUGGGACGGGUCAACAUCGAUUUCGGCCGGCGGAUAAGGGUGAGGGGAAUGUGGCAUCGUUUCGGCGAUGUGUUAUAGCCUCGCAUCGGAUAUGCUGGCUGGGAUUGAGGACCGCAGCACGCCCUUGUGGCCGGGGGUUCGCCCCACGUAACGUGCUUAGGAUGUUGGCAUAAUGGCUCUAAGCGACCCGUCUUGAAACACGGACCAAGGAGUCUAACAUGCUUGCGAGUGUUCGGGUGGGAAACCCUUGCGCGUAAUGAAAGUGAGAGUUGGGAGCCUCCACGAGGGGGGUGCACCGACGCCCGGCCCUGACGUUCUCUGACGGUGCUGCGGUAGAGCAAGUGUGUUGGGACCCGAAAGAUGGUGAACUAUGCCUGAAUAGGGCGAAGCCAGAGGAAACUCUGGUGGAGGCUCGUAGCGAUUCUGACGUGCAAAUCGAUCGUCGAAUUUGGG
rnacentral:rRNA from 2 species